rnacentral:tRNA from 1 species
CCUAAAGGUGGCCCGGACCUAUUAUUUCUAGUUCAUUUAUGAAUCAAGGUGGCCAUAGGCCCCUAUGGUCC